rnacentral:rRNA from 1 species
UCCGUAGGUGAACCUGCGGAAGGAUCAUUACCGAAUCUACACUCAGUUGUGUAACCACUGUGAACAGUUUCGCUUUACGUGUGGGGUAACUUCGUGGUUUUGAACUAGAGGCCACCUCUAGGCCCCAUACGUAUUGCACACAAUUUGUUGUUUUCAACGCACCUAUUCAGUACCAGUGUGCUUUCUUGCUAGCUUGCUAGCGAGGGACAGCAAAGAGAAAAACGUAGACAACUUCUAACGGUGGAUCUCUUGGCUCGUGCAUCGAUGAAGAACGUAGCCAGUUGCGAUAAGUAGUGUGAAUUGCAGAAUUCAAUGAAUCAUCGAAUCUUUGAACGCAAAUUGCGCUCUCUGGAUAUCCAGGGAGCAUGCCUGUCUGAGUGUCGUGUUCAAAUCUACACACUCCGGUGUGGUGCGAGAGUUCAGUUUGCUCUAGAGCAAAGUGUCUCUUUAUGUGACUGAACCCGGCUGCUUGCAAGACUUGCACCGUGGGUAGACUCAACUAGCUUCUGUCCUACCUUACGCGUGCUUCAAGGUCUUCAACUGCAAGGUUCCCGGCUUCUCUAUGUAGAGGAGCAACGUUAUUCAAACUUUGACCUCAGAUCAGACAAGACUACCCGCUGAAUUUAAGCAUAUCAAUAAGCGGAGGAAA